GACGAACGCUGGCGGCGUGCUUAACACAUGCAAGUCGAACGGAAAGGCCCUGCUUUUGUGGGGUGCUCGAGUGGCGAACGGGUGAGUAACACGUGAGUAACCUGCCCUUGAUUUUGGGAUAACUUCAGGAAACUGGGGCUAAUACCGGAUAGGAGCUCCUGCUGCAUGGUGGGGGUUGGAAAGUUUCGGCGGUUGGGGAUGGACUCGCGGCUUAUCAGCUUGUUGGUGGGGUAGUGGCUUACCAAGGCUUUGACGGGUAGCCGGCCUGAGAGGGUGACCGGCCACAUUGGGACUGAGAUACGGCCCAGACUCCUACGGGAGGCAGCAGUGGGGAAUAUUGCACAAUGGGCGGAAGCCUGAUGCAGCAACGCCGCGUGCGGGAUGACGGCCUUCGGGUUGUAAACCGCUUUCGCCUGUGACGAAGCGUGAGUGACGGUAAUGUGUAAAGAAGCACCGGCUAACUACGUG
rnacentral:rRNA from 1 species